rnacentral:RNase_P_RNA from 1 species
CUAGUGGUAAUCUCGCACUUGGAGCACCCGUACGAGUACCUGGUUACUCUGGUUUGUUUGCUUCGGGAAGGUCUGAGAUAAGGCAUGCAAAUAUGCCUCAGCAAGGCAGCCCUUUGAGAAGGGCGUUCGCUACCAGCAAUACAUCAGUUGUGGAUGACGCGGUGUUCUGUAACAAAUUUUGUAAUUUGAUAUAUGUGCACUGAUUGGAAACAGCGGAUUGCCAGCCAUUUAAGUCAAAUUUGCGAGCUACUGUACACCCUUGGGCUUCCCACGGGUCGGUAGAACUCAAUUCAGACUAAUCUAUCACUAG